rnacentral:misc_RNA from 1 species
ACAGCGUCGCUCCCCACCAACCUAGUUGGUGAAGAGCGGAGAUUGGCCCCCCGAGUCCUCCGGGCACGGUCGGCACAAAUAUUGGUCCCCGACAGCGAGUGUCGCGGUCAGCGGUGGUUGUAUUCUUCCUCCAAAGACAAAAUGCCGCGUACCUCGUUGCGUGCGGGAUCGAAACGACCCCUGAAAGCCGUUCGCGGCAUUCACC